GCCCAUAAAUGGACAUACCAAAAGCCACCACAUUCUCACAGUGUUUUUCAGCCUUCCUGGAACCAGGAAAUACCAGGAAUUUCUUCAAGGAACCUGUUCCCAAACUGUACUAAAGUCCUCGACACAUUUAGCAUUUGAGUGGAGUUUAGAAGCAUGACUAAGGUCCCAUCUCCAGUGCACGACCGAGUGUUGCUCCUGCGUGGCAAACAACUUGUUGCAGUCACUGCUGCUAGUUCAGCACUUCUCUCUGCCAGUUCGAGCCCACAGCCCCAGAGCACCAAAAAUGGGUCAAUUCUGAAAAUUCCCCCCGGAAACCUCUGGCUCUGUAUUGUUGAAGCAUUCCUCUGCCCCAGUCUGUUACUGGGGCAGUGCCAAAUGCAGGAGUAUUUAUGUUUGCUUAAUGGCUUCGUUUACACAAGAUGCUCCCUGCUGUUCACUGAUCCAAGGACAGGUACGGCCCAGAUGACCUCUGCAGCUGCCCUCCGCCAUCACACAGCUCCAGCCCCAGGUGGAGAGCCUGGCAAGAGGAGAAGACUGGCAAAAGAACAGAAAACAGAUCAGCUAAACAGGUCAAAUCCCACUGGAACUACCUGCAAGUCACAGGAUGAGAUGUCACAGAUCCCCUUUCUUUCCUGCUCUGGGGUGCUCCUGUGCUUUGAAUUGGUAUCGGGCAGCGCAAGAGGAGCACCAUGCAGACACUUGCUGUGGACUUCCCAAUGGCAUCCAUGCUGAAGGAACAGAUCACAUCAAUAUAUCACAGUAAUUUUCACCAGCAGGUACCUGGG